AUGCAAUGUUGGCGCUCAACUGGAUCUUGGUGCAGCUGCUGGGAGAGGAACAGAAGAUUCCUGCUUCUUUAGGGCAGGGGCUAAAACCCUGUGGCAAACAACCAUGUAUAUUGCUACUUCUCAGACCAGCGGUAGCUCCUGACACUAUGGCUUGACUUCAUGUGGAGGGAAUCAAAAUAUACAAUCAUGUUGGGGAUGCCAAUUGCUGCUGUCUCAGUAGCUAGCCAUGCCACUAUCUGUGGAAGCCCUGGAAUCUGCAUGGAGGGAUUUCUGCUCUGGUAAGGGCUAACUUAGAAAUUAGCUAUGCCAAAGAUCUGGAGAAGCUGGCUAACAAGCUUACCAAAGCUUUGGACAAGAUGAAGCUAAAGCCAAGAAGAAAUUAAUGCGGUUUACCAAGGAACAUGAAGUACUCUUCCAUUAUGUAGAAAACACCAAGCAAUUUGCUACAGGGAAGAAGAAGCAGAAGAGUAUUCUAGACCUGGAGAAAGAAAGAUUGCAGCUUCUGUGCAAUAUCCUAAAUACUUAUAACCAGCACCUUUCCCAUUUUGGAUAAAACUUGAUCGCAAUUCAUAGUGCCAUAAGCCAGGUGGAUGCUGAAAAGGACAUUCAGACUUUACUGGAAGAAAGGUCAGUGUCCUCUCCUGAAACCAAAUCUGAGUUCUUAUUAAUGGAUUAUUCUGCCAGGCAGUUUUCCCUCAUUUAUUUUUUGAUGAGAAGUCGUUUUCAAUUGCGGAUCCUCCGUAAGGCUGCUGCGUCAUGACACUGACACCCAGGCAUCAUGCAGCGAUGCUGCAGUUCAGCAGUAUG